UUUAAUAUAAAUGAUAAUUUAAAUUAAUAAUUUAUUUAAAUAAUAUAUUAUAUGUAAAUUUAAUAUUUAAAAUGAUUGAAAAUUUAUGAAAAUAAAUAAUAGAAAUAAAUAAUAGUAAUAAUAAAUUUAGUGCCAGCAAUUGCGGUUAGACUAAGAUUAUAAAUAAAUUAUAUUAAUUAAUAAUAAUAUAAGAAACAAUUUUAAUUUAAAAAUAUAUAAUAAAUUUUAUAUGGUGAAAUAUUAAAAUUAUUUAUAUUAUAUUUUUAUUAUUAAUAAGAUUACUAAUUAGAUAAAUUAUAUAAAAAAUUAGGAUUAGAUACCCUAUUAUUUUAAUUAAGAUAUAUUAAUUUAGAGAUUAUGUACGUAUGUAUUGGAAUUUAAAUAAUUUGGCGGUAUUUUUAAUAGUUAGAGGAAUUUGUUAGAUAAUUUGAUAAUCCACGAUAGGAGAAACUUAAAUUAGUUUUUAUGUAUUGUUGUUUAAAUUAUUUUAGUAGAAUAAAUAUUAGAAUAUUAAAUUUAAUAAUAAUUCAAAUCAAAAUGUAGAAUAUUUAAGAUUAUAAUGAGUUACAUUUUUUUAUAGUAUGAUAAUUAUAAUUUUAAUAAAUUAUAGUGAAAUAGGAUUUAAUAGUAAUUUUUUUAAAUAUAAAAGAUUGAAAUUAAUUAAUAAAUAUGUACAAAUUGCCCGUCAUUUUCAUGAAAUUAUUAAGUGAAAAAAGUCGUAACAUAGUAAGUGUAUAUGAAUAUGUAUUUAGAUUAUUAAAAGUA
rnacentral:ncRNA from 1 species